CCUACGGGAGGCAGCAGUGAGGAAUAUUGGUCAAUGGACGAGAGUCUGAACCAGCCAAGUAGCGUGAAGGAUGACUGCCCUAUGGGUUGUAAACUUCUUUUAUGUGGGAAUAAAAUGUUCCACGUGUGGGAUUUUGUAUGUACCAUAUGAAUAAGGAUCGGCUAACUCCGUGCCAGUAGCCGCGGUAAUACGGAGGAUCCGGGCGUUAUCCGGAUUUAUUGGGUUUAAAGGGAGCGUAGGUGGAUUGUUAAGCCUGUCGUGAAAGUUCGCGGCUCAACCGUAACAUUGCAGUGGAAACUGGCAGUCUUGAGUACAGUAGAGGUGUGCGGAAUUCGUGGUGUAGCGGUGAAAUGCUUAGAUAUCACGAAGAACUCCGAUUGCGAAGGCAGCUCACUGGACCGCAACUGACGCUGAGGCUCGAAGGUGUGGGUAUCAAACAGGAUUAGAUACCCUGGUAGUC
rnacentral:rRNA from 1 species